rnacentral:rRNA from 1 species
GGAUCCAGACUUUGAUUAUGGCUCAGGAUGAACGCUAGCUACAGGCUUAACACAUGCAAGUCGAGGGGAAACGAUAUUGGAAGCUUGCUUCCGAUAGGCGUCGACCGGCGCACGGGUGAGUAACGCGUAUCCAACCUGCCCACCACUUGGGGAUAACCUUGCGAAAGUAAGACUAAUACCCAAUGACGUCUCUAGAAGACAUCUGAAAGAGAUUAAAGAUUUAUCGGUGAUGGAUGGGGAUGCGUCUGAUUAGCUUGUUGGCGGGGUAACGGCCCACCAAGGCGACGAUCAGUAGGGGUUCUGAGAGGAAGGUCCCCCACAUUGGAACUGAGGCACGGUCCAAACUCCUACGGGAGGCAGCAGUGAGGAAUAUUGGUCAAUGGGCGAGAGCCUGAACCAGCCAAGUAGCGUGCAGGAUGACGGCCCUAUGGGUUGUAAACUGCUUUUAUAAGGGAAUAAAGUGAGUCUCGUGAGACUUUUUGCAUGUACCUUAUGAAUAAGGACCGGCUAAUUCCGUGCCAGCAGCCGCGGUAAUACGGAAGGUCCGGGCGUUAUCCGGAUUUAUUGGGUUUAAAGGGAGCGUAGGCCGGAGAUUAAGCGUGUUGUGAAAUGUAGACGCUCAACGUCUGCACUGCAGCGCGAACUGGUUUCCUUGAGUACGCACAAAGUGGGCGGAAUUCGUGGUGUAGCGGUGAAAUGCUUAGAUAUCACGAAGAACUCCGAUUGCGAAGGCAGCUCACUGGAGCGCAACUGACGCUGAAGCUCGAAAGUGCGGGUAUCGAACAGGAUUAGAUACCCUGGUAGUCCGCACGGUAAACGAUGGAUGCCCGCUGUUGGUCUGAAUAGGUCAGCGGCCAAGCGAAAGCAUUAAGCAUCCCACCUGGGGAGUACGCCGGCAACGGUGCAACUCAAAGGAAUUGACGG